AAUAUUGGACAAUGGGCGCAAGCCUGAUCCAGCCAUGCCGCGUGAGUGAUGAAGGCCUUAGGGUUGUAAAGCUCUUUCGCCGGUGAAGAUAAUGACGGUAACCGGAGAAGAAGCCCCGGCUAACUUCGUGCCAGCAGCCGCGGUAAUACGAAGGGGGCUAGCGUUGCUCGGAAUUACUGGGCGUAAAGCGCACGUAGGCGGUUUCUUAAGUCGGGGGUGAAAUCCUGGAGCUCAACUCCAGAACUGCCUUCGUUACUGGGAGACUUGAGUUCGGGAGAGGUGAGUUGAACUGCGAGUGUAGAGGUGAAAUUCGUAGAUAUUCGCAAGAACACCAGUGGCGAAGGCGGCUCACUGGCCCGAUACUGACGCUGAGGUGCGAAAGC
rnacentral:rRNA from 1 species